AACAAAACAUACUUGAAGGAUGUACCGUUCUGCUCAUAAGUUUAAAUACCCCUUACAGAAUCUACAUGUUAUGUGCUAUAUGGUAUGCUGUGUUAUUUUGCAGGAAUGGGAAAUUGAGAUUGUUUCAUCAGAAAAAAACGAGGAUAGGGACAACCUUAUAACAGAAAUUAUUAAAGAAAAGAUAAUUGCACUGUAUGGAGCUGAUGCAGGGAAGAAAACUUUGAAAGAGCUCAAGAAAGUGGACAAAUAUAUUGAAAUUAACAAUGUUUUGUCUACUGGGAAGAUGACAAUCUCGAACCAGAAUCUGUCUGAUAUUACCUGUGCAGUUGCUCAAUACAUAAAAGACGAUGAGUCAAAUCCUGGUGGCUGGUACUGGCCGCUUGUGAAGAGUGUAACAAUCAAGACUCCUAACUGUCGUGAACUCCUGGAGCACAUUGUCUUGGUUGAUAUUCCUGGUACUGGAGACUGCAACAAGAUCAGAGAUGACCUCUGGAGAUCUGUAAACACUUCUCUUUUAAGUACUCGUAAAUGUGUGUGAAACGUAAAAUAUAUUACAAAACCACAGGUAUAUCAUCUGAUAUUUUACUCUGCUUUUGUAUUUGCUCUCACUUAGAAACUAAAGCACUGUUCAUCUGUGUGGAUUGUAAGUGACAUCAACCGAGCAGUCUCAGACAAAGACCCCUGGGAAAUAUUGGAGCACUGCAUUCAAGACUUGGGAGGAGGAGGAGAAUGCAAACACAUCAACUUCAUCUGCACCAAGACCGAUCAGAUUAAUUCAAGGGGAUAUCUUGCGUUAGAAUAAGACUUUUUUGUCAUUAAAUUACAUCUUUUGCAACAUUAACGUAAACAUGUUUAAAAAGAAAUAAUUGAAUUAAUGGACAAUUAUAAUUGGAUAAUGACUCGUUUUGCUCUGUCAUUUUCAUUUUGUUUUUCUUUAGAAAUGAACAGCUUGAUGAACAAAUGACUGGACCAAAGGAUCUGAAAACAAAACGCAUACUUCAUAGAAACAGCCGUGCAAAGGAAGCAGUGAAAAGAAAAUUAAAAAAUGCUGGAAGCAGGGAUUCAAAAGAGAGAUUCAUCACUGAUGUUUUUACUGUAAGUUCUGAAGCAUUCCUGGAUCCAGAAAAUCCAGUUCUGGAAGCUACAGAAACCGAGAUUCCAAAACUGAGGGAUGUUCUGAAGAAUCUUAAUAAGAACAUCAACAGAAAACUGACCAGAGAUUAUGUCAAUGAAGCAAAAGGGGUUUUGUCUUUGAUCCAAGGUGUCCAACUGGAUGCAGAUGAAAAUAUGACAAAAGCCAAAGUCCACAGCGAUCUGGAGAUAAACCUACAUAGGGCACUGAAAGAGUUGAAAUGUCAGUUUGACUCGUGCUAUAAGACUCUGGAAGACUGUCUCUCAGCUGGAGUAGAAGAAUCAGUGAGAUCAUGUGUUAAGACCACACAAGACAUGAUCAAAUCUGUAAGUGUGUUUCAGUUGUUGUGAAAGUUGCAUAUUCAAUAUUUUACU
rnacentral:lncRNA from 1 species